AGCGAACGCUGGCGGCAGGCCUAACACAUGCAAGUCGAACGAACCGUUCGGGGUUAGUGGCGGACGGGGGAGUAACACGUGGGAACGUGCCUGUAGGUUCGGAAUAACUCAGGGAAACAUGUGCUAAUACCGAAUGGGCCCUUCGGGGGAAAGAGUUAUCGCCGUUCGAGCGGCCCUCGUCUGAUUAGCUAGUUGGGUGAGGUAAUGGCGCACCAAGGCGACGAUCAGGAGCUGGUCUGAGAGGAGGAUCAGCCACGUUGGGAAUGCGACCCGGCCCAAUAUCCUACGGGAGGCAGCAGUGGGGAGUCUUGCGCGAUGGGCGCAGGCCUGACGCAGCCAUGCCGCGUGAAUGAUGAAGGUCUUAGGAUAGUACAAUUCUUUCACCGGGGACGAUAAUGACGGUACCCGGAGAAGAAGCCCCGGCUAACUUCGUG
rnacentral:rRNA from 1 species